rnacentral:tRNA from 1 species
GGGCGUAGUUCAAUGGUAGAACAUCAGCCUUCCAAGCUGAAUACACGGGUUCGAUUCCCGCCGCCC